UUCAUUUUGUGGGAGAGGACUAGAUUGUAUAAACACAUUUACAUAUGCCAGAUACAAAUGCAGGACAUUAUUCGCCCCUUAUUAACAGUACAUUCUGCUAGUGUCAAGAAGAGGCUUACAGAAAGAUAUAAAGUAUCAUCAUCAAAUAGUAACUAAUGGUUUAGUAAACAUCAUUAUUAUUUCAUAUACAGCAUAACCUGAUAGAAAAAAAUGUAAACUUUAAAGCUACAGUUCUGUGUUCUGUAUUUCGCCUUGUUUGUUCUCCUUUCAACUUCCCUAUCAGCUUUUAACAUCAAUCAAAAAAUCCAUCCUUUUCCAGAUGAAUAAUGAUCUCCUGCUGACUGUCAUGUCUGUCUGAAGAACAAGAAAUGUGAUGAAGCUGACUGACCCUGUGGCACCUCUUUUCUCUAGAGCACAUAUCAUGGAUAUUCAGGUGCUUUUACCAACAGUUACCUAUGAAAAUGUUUGCGGAAAGCAGAGGACUGUGAGUAGGAUCAAAUUUUUUAACAUAGUAGAACAUGGAGUCCUGUUUCUCUUUAUUUGUUCACUCCUUUCACUUCACUACUUUGGUCCCUCUCUAAGGGUUGGGAAGGCUCAUCCUGCUGCAAUGAGCCAAGCUGAAAUGGUGUCACUCGGGGCACUUGCUGGAGCAGGCUGUCCUUGUGGCAGCCCUGACUUUGAUGGCAGAGUAUUAACUGUUAGGGAGUGGAGGAGGGAUCAGAACACGAGGUAGGCCAGCUGCCAGCUACACUAAAAUUACUCCUGUAACCACUCCAAUAUGUGUACCAGAAUUUAGGGACUCCGAUAUAUUCAGACGGAACAGUUUUACACAAAGGGUAGUUGAAAUACAGUCUGGAACAAACUGCCGAAGUCAGCAGUAGAAGCAAAUAGUGUAAAUCAGUUCAAGGAGGAGUUUUUGAAGAAGGCAAGGGGAAGGGCAUAGAGCUACUAGCAAGAAGUUCAAGUUUCAUGUGAUGGAACACAGAUUGAUUUGUAUUUCCUGAGGUUAUGAGGGCAGGUCUUCAUGGACUGUAUCAUCCUCUUUGGGCUGCUUAAUGUUUGCAUGUGCUUUCAUGCUGUGUUUCAUUCUCUUUCAGUUCAGAAAUGCAUUUUUUUUUUUCUUCUUGGUCCUACAGUCUCAAUAAAUAACAUGUUGCUGAGUAUAAUGCA
rnacentral:lncRNA from 1 species